rnacentral:rRNA from 1 species
AACGAACGCUGGCGGCAGGCUUAACACAUGCAAGUCGAGCGCCCCGCAAGGGGAGCGGCAGACGGGUGAGUAACGCGUGGGAAUCUACCCAUCUCUACGGAAUAACGCAUGGAAACGUGUGCUAAUACCGUAUACGUCCUUCGGGAGAAAGAUUUAUCGGAGAUGGAUGAGCCCGCGUUGGAUUAGCUAGUUGGUGGGGUAAAGGCCUACCAAGGCGACGAUCCAUAGCUGGUCUGAGAGGAUGAUCAGCCACACUGGGACUGAGACACGGCCCAGACUCCUACGGGAGGCAGCAGUGGGGAAUAUUGGACAAUGGGCGCAAGCCUGAUCCAGCCAUACCGCGUGAGUGAUGAAGGCCCUAGGGUUGUAAAGCUCUUUCACCGGUGAAGAUAAUGACGGUAACCGGAGAAGAAGCCCCGACUAACUUCGUGCCAGCCGCCGCCGUAAGAC